CUAUAUAUUGACGCUACAAAACCCUUCAACAAUUAGUUCUAUCUAUAGUGGAUAAUCAUACUCGUAUCGUUCUCUAUCGAGUGGUUAACGUAUUCGUAUCGUUCUCGUGGAUACGUCUAGACGUAAACUCAAGCAAACCGGAUACGUGUAGACCCGCCUUUUUUGAAUCCUGAACAAAAUCGGUUAUGGAUUCAAACCAAUCCGGAUAGAUCUAACGACAUUGUAGAUAUACGUAUUGCUCAACUUGUAUUAUAAAACGAUCAGUGGCAAAAUCCUUUAACCCUUAACACAAGGUCGAUU
rnacentral:lncRNA from 1 species